UUCAUUGAUCAAGGACGAAGGUUAGGGGCUCGAAAACGAUCAGAUACCGUUGUAGUCUUAACAGUAAACUAUGCCGACUAGGGAUCGGGCGACCUCAAUUUGAUGUGUCGCUCGGCACCUUACGAGAAAUCAAAGUCUUUGGGUUCUGGGGGGAGUAUGUCGCAAGGCUGAAACUUAAAGGAAUUGACGGAAGGGCACCACCAGGAGUGGAGCCUGCGGCUUAAUUUGACUCAACACGGGGAAACUCACCAGGUCCAGACAUGACUAGGAUUGACAGAUUGAUAGCUCUUUCAUGAUCUCAUGGGUGGUGGUGCAUGGCCGUUCUUAGUUGGUGGAGUGAUUUGUCUGGUUAAUUCCGAUAACGAACGAGACCUUAACCUGCUAAAUAGCCAGGCCGGCUUUGGCUGGUCGCGGGCUUCUUAGAGGGACUGUCGGCGUCGAGCCGACGGAAGUUUGAGGCAAUAACAGGU
rnacentral:rRNA from 1 species